UGGAUGAACGCUGGCGGCGUGCUUAACACAUGCACUUCAAACGAUGAUGCCAGCUUGCUGGUGGAUUAAUGGCCAACGGGUGAGUAACACGUGAGUAACCUGCCCUUAACUCUGGGAUAAGCCUGGGAAACUGGGUCUAAUACCGGAUAUGACUCCUCAUCGCAUGGUGGGGGGUGGAAAGCUUUAUUGUGGUUUUGGAUGGACUCGCGGCCUAUCAACUUGUUGGUGAGGUAAUGGCUCACCCACGCGACUACUGGUAGCCGGCCUGAGAGGGUGACCGGCCACACUGGGACUGAGACACUUCCCAUACUCCUACGGGAGGCAGCAGUGGGGAAUAUUGCACAAUGGGCGCAAGCCUGAUGCAGCGACCCCUCGUGAGGGAUGACUGCCUUCGGGUUGUAAACCUCUUUCUCUACGGAAGAAACCAAAGUGACGGUACCUGCCCAACAAGCGCCGGCUAACUACGUGCCAGCAGCCGCGGUAAUACGUAGGGCGCAAGCGUUAUCCGGAAUUAUUGGGCGUAAAGAGCUCGUANGCGGUUUGUCGCGUCUGCCGUGAAAGUCCUGGGCUCAACUCCGGAUCUGCGGUGGGUACGGGCAGACUACAGUGAUGUACGUGGAGACUGCACUUCCUCGGCGUAACGCUGAAAUGCGCAGAUAUCAUCACGAACACCCGAUGGGCGUAUGGCACGUCUCUGGGCAUCAACUGAGGCUGAAGUAGCGAAUGCAUCGCGAGCUAACAGGAUUAUAUACCCUGGUAGUCCAUGCCGUACACGUUNUGCACUACGUGUGGGGG
rnacentral:rRNA from 1 species